UACGGGGGGGGCAAGCGUUGUUCGGAAUUACUGGGCGUAAAGAGCUCGUAGGCGGUUUGUCGCGUCUGCCGUGAAAGUCCGGGGCUCAACUCCGGAUCUGCGGUGGGUACGGGCAGACUAGAGUGAUGUAGGGGAGACUGGAAUUCCUGGUGUAGCGGUGAAAUGCGCAGAUAUCAGGAGGAACACUGGUGGCGAAGGCGGAUCUCUGGGCCAUUACUGACGCUGAGGAGCGAAAGCGUGGGGAGCGAACAGG
rnacentral:rRNA from 1 species